GAUGAACGCUGGCGGCGUGCCUAAUACAUGCAAGUCGAGCGAACAGACGAGGAGCUUGCUCCUCUGACGUUAGCGGCGGACGGGUGAGUAACACGUGGAUAACCUACCUAUAAGACUGGGAUAACUUCGGGAAACCGGAGCUAAUACCGGAUAAUAUAUUGAACCGCAUGGUUCAAUAGUGAAAGACGGUUUUGCUGUCACUUAUAGAUGGAUCCGCGCCGCAUUAGCUAGUUGGUAAGGUAACGGCUUACCAAGGCGACGAUGCGUAGCCGACGUGAGAGGGUGAUCGGCCACACGGGAACUGAGACACGGUCCAGACUCCUACGGGAGGCAGCAGUAGGGAAUCGUCCGCAAUGGGCGAAAGCCUGACGGAGCAACGCCGCGUGAGUGAUGAAGGUCUUCGGAUCGUAAAACUCUGUUAUUAGGGAAGAACAAAUGUGUAAGUAACUAUGCACGUCUUGACGGUACCUGAUCAGAAAGCCACGGCUAACUACGUG
rnacentral:rRNA from 1 species